rnacentral:rRNA from 1 species
AACGUAGGUGGCAAGCGUUGUUCGGAAUUACUGGGCGUAAAGGGCUCGUAGGUGGCCAACUAAGUCAGACGUGAAAUCCCUCGGCUUAACCGGGGAACUGCGUCUGAUACUGGAUGGCUUGAGUUUGGGAGAGGGACGCGGAAUUCCAGGUGUAGCGGUGAAAUGCGUAGAUAUCUGGAGGAACACCGGUGGCGAAGGCGGCGUCCUGGACCGGUAUUGACGCUGAGGCGCGAAAGCCAGGGGAGCAAACGGG